GAGGUCGUCACUGACUGGAGGCAGUGUUCUUCCAGCUUAAGGACUUGUAAUAGUUUUUCUUGUUUCUGCAUUUUUACACAAUCUGUGCGAGACUGCAUUGAGACAUCUCGCCCUUGUGGCUACAUUUAAUUCGGCGAAGGAUUAGGGAUUUUGUCGAGGGACUUAAGUGGAUUAGUUCUUCUCACUGGUGUAGAAGUAAACGUCUUAUCCUGAUCACAACUCAAAGUCUUGAGACUGCACACUAAUGAGUCUUGAGUAUAAUGUCUCGCCAUAUUUAAGCCCGCACUAAAGGGCCUGACAAUCCCCACCAUAUUCCAGAACAUCGUCAGCAGUCGUCUGCCUUGACAUCAACUUGCACUUCGUAUAACGAGAGGCCGCUUGCUUCUUCCCUCUCCUUCCAGCUGCAUUUUAUCUUCUUCGAGUUAUUAGAACAAAAAUGAAGGUUCUUCUCCUGUCAGUGAUGGUGAUAGUACUUCUCCACUGCCAUGGAGGCCUUUCAAUGAUGUGUGGACAGCUUGCAGAUAACGAGAAUCAACUAUACGCCAACUUGAACGAGCUGGUCAAGAAAAUUAGGGGUGAUCUACUGAAUAAAAAAAUGAUUGAGAGAGGAAGGCAAUUUGCCUUUAUACUGCUAGGCGACGACACUUUGUUGAAUUCUGUCGAUUCUUUCCAGCCUAACCCAAUUCUCAUCACGUUAGGAGAAAAUCGGGAUCGAAAUACCUUCGACAAUUUAUUGGUAGCUCGACCCGGGGGACGUUUUCACUCUGAGGACACCCUUCUCAUGUCAUUUUCAGAUCUUUAUAGCAUGUACAAGAUUAGGUAUAAUCACUACCCCGAGUUUAUUCUCUUGUACUCUAAUCUCAUGCCGUGUAAAGAUUGUACCGGUAGAAUAAUAAAAUUAAAAAGUGAUCGUAGUAAAGCAUGGGGUCGUCUGAAGUGGUUUGUUGGGUAUAAUGUAGGAGACAGUACAAAUGUGGAUUACAUUAAUGCCCAGACAACUAAGCAGAAAGUUGCUUGGUUGAAGGCCGAUGAUAUCCGCGUAUUCAAAGUCGACUUUUUCAAGAGGCCCUCACUGUUCAGCGAAAUAGAACAAAGGAAGUGAGAACACAUGCAGUAGACAAUCUUGAAGUCUUGCAUGUUAAUGUGUGUAAAGACUACAGAAAUAGACAUAGUCUUGCACUGAUUUUAACUUCACUUUUAUUAAGAUAUAACUCUUUUUACUUCUUUUUUUUGUACAUUUUUUAGGGUAGAAAUGUGGACCCCACGUCCCCCACUCAAUCCUCACUGGUAUCAUAUUUUGUCAGAGCGAAACUGAAAAUCGCUAGUGGGUUCCUCACAGAUGUAUAAUGUGUUUUGCUUUGUUGAAUUCUUGUGUAAUACUAUUCUUUUAUAUUUACAAUAAUUAUAAAAUUACUGCCUUCCUCUUGAAAUAGUGGUGACUGUUGUUAUGUGGACUAUAGAUGCAACUCAUGACCUGUCAGCUAGCACUCAUGUUUUCUGUUCUUGAAAUGUCAAGUUACUUUUAACUCAAAGUCAUAUUUUUAUUAAUUUGUUUUUAAUUUUAAUAAUUAAACUUCAGAAUAUCUUGUUUAUUCAUGACUUUUUGCCUAUGUUUUUCGUAACUAUGUGUCAAUGUUGUAUCGAAGAUUUCCGAGACUGGUUUUCAGGACUAAACAGUCUCUGUAGACGCUACCACCCAGAAGUCCUUAGUGACUUUUCUGGGGGUAGGUGGUCUUUAGUAGCCGCCACUAUACUUCGAUAUUUUCUAGUUUUCUGUAGCUUGUAAUAUACAUGAAUAAAGUUUCUUAUAUUGAG
rnacentral:lncRNA from 1 species